GACGAACGCUGGCGGCGUGCUUAACACAUGCAAGUCGAGCGGUAAGGCCCUUUCGGGGGUACACGAGCGGCGAACGGGUGAGUAACACGUGGGUGACCUGCCCUCAGCUCUGGGAUAAGCCUGGGAAACCGGGUCUAAUACUGGAUAUGACUCCAUGACGCAUGUUGUGGGGUGGAAAGCCUUGUGCGGCUGAGGAUGGGCCCGCGGCCUAUCAGCUUGUUGGUGGGGUGANGGCCUACCAAGGCGACGACGGGUAGCCGGCCUGAGAGGCGACCGGCCACACUGGGACUGAGACACGGCCCAGACUCCUACGGGAGGCAGCAGUGGGGAAUCUUGCGCAAUGGGCAAAGCCUAGACGCAGCGACGCCGCGUGAGGGAUGACGGCCU
rnacentral:rRNA from 1 species